GGGACUGUAGCUCCGUGGCAGAGUGCUUGCCUAGAAUGUAUGAGGCACUGGGUUCGUUCCCUAGUACCA
rnacentral:tRNA from 1 species